rnacentral:piRNA from 1 species
UAUCACGGAGAGUGGUCCAAGAUGAGCCUU